rnacentral:rRNA from 1 species
GUGAGUCAUCGAAUCUUUGAACGCACCUUGCGCUCCUUGGUAUUCCGAGGAGCAUGCCUGUUUGAGUGUCAUGGUACCCUCAAUUCUUCACAUUUUUUAAUGUGCAUGAAUUGGAUUGUGGAGGUUUUUGUCGGUGUUCACCACCGGCUCCUCUUAAUGAUAUUAGUGUGAAUGUUUACCAAACGUUCCUCAGUGUGAUAAUUGUCUACGCUGUGGUAGUGAGGUUCCAUUAAGUUCAUGCUUCUAAUCGUCCUUCAUUGGACAACAAUUUUUGACAUCUGACCUCAAAUCAGGUAGGACUACCCGCUGAACUUAAGCAUAUCAAUAAGCGGAGG